UGGGGAAUUUUGGACGAAUUGGGGGCAACCGUCGAUCCAGCAAUGCCGCGUGUGUGAAGAAGGCCUUCGGGUUGUAAAGCACUUUUGUCCGGAAAGAAAACGCCGUGGUUAAUACCCGUGGCGGAUGACGGUACCGGAAGAAUAAGCACCGGCUAACUACGUGCCAGCAGCCGCGGUAAUACGUAGGGUGCAAGCGUUAAUCGGAAUUACUGGGCGUAAAGCGUGCGCAGGCGGUCCGCUAAGACAGAUGUGAAAUCCCCGGGCUUAACCUGGGAACUGCAUUUGUGACUGGCGGGCUAGAGUAUGGCAGAGGGGGGUAGAAUUCCACGUGUAGCAGUGAAAUGCGUAGAGAUGUGGAGGAAUACCGAUGGCGAAGGCAGCCCCCUGGGCCAAUACUGACGCUCAUGCACGAAAGCGUGGGGGAGCAAACAGGAUUCAGAUACCCUGGUA
rnacentral:rRNA from 1 species